UUUUUUUUUUUUUUUUUUUUUGAGAGUUUUGCUCUGUCGCCCAUGCUGGAGUGCAGUGGCACAAUCUCGGCUCACUGCAACCUCUGCCUCUGGGUUCAAGCAAUUCUUGUGCAUCAGCCUCCUGAGUAGCUGGGAUUACAGGCACCCACCACCAUGCUGGGCUAAUUUUUUUUUUUUUUUGGUAGAGAUGGGGUUUCACCAUGUUGGCCAGGCUGGUCUCAAACUCCUGACCUCCAGUGAUCUGCCCACCUUGGUGUCUGUGCUGGGAUCCUUUUCUGUUAACUUGCUUAUAAAAAUGUCACACUCUGUAUUAAGACAUAAGGAGUUAGAAAAUCACUGUAAAAAUAAAGUUGCUUGUUGUACAGGUACUAACAAGCAUUUUCUGAAAUGGAAAUUUGUUUUUUUAUUAACCUAAUACAAAUAAGGUUCAAGCACUGUAUUUAAAUAUUUAAAAGAUAGGAGUUUCUUAAAAUACCACAUAUGGUGCUCUUGUGAGCUUGCUUUUCUCCACAAUUUGGCAAUUUGCUUCACUCUAGUAGUCCAAUCUGCAACAAAAGAACAGAAUAUAACACUUUCUCAGAGCCAUGCUAAUGAUGUGUUGUAUUAAAGAAUGUUGAUGAACUGCUGACAGUUAAUCUUAUUCAGGCCGUAUUCUCAUGAGGUCAUAGAUCUAUAUUAAGUUUUUUUACAAAGAACAAAGAUCCUGGCACACUGUAGGCCAAACAAACGUUUUCUAAAUGAAGUGUUGCCUUAUUAACAACCUAGCUUGUAGGUUGGGAAGUUUUUAGAUUCAAGGGACAAAGUAGCAAAAAUGUGCCCUCUCCCUCACCCUCACCUUCUCCCUCUCCCUCUCUCUCUCCCGUCUCCGUCGUCUCUGUCUCCUGCUUUCCACGGUCUCCCCCUCUCCCUCGUCUCCGUCUCCCGCUUUCCACGGUCUCCCUCUGUUGCCGAGGCUGGACUGUACUGCUGCGAUCUCGGCUCACUGCAACCUCCCUGCCUGAUUCUCCUGCCUCAGCCUGCUGAGUGCCUGGGAUUGCAGGCGCGCGCCACCACGCCUGACUGGUUUUUGUAUUUUUUGGUGGAGACGGGGUUUCGCCGUGUUGGCCGGGCUGGUCUCCAGCUCCUGACCACGAGUGAUCUGCCCGCCCUGGCCUCCCGAGGUGCCGGGAUUGCAGAGGGAGUCUUGCUCACUCAGUGCUCAAUGUUGCCCAGGCUGGAGUGCAGUGGCGUGAUCUCUGCUCGCUACAAUCUCCACCUCCCAGCCACCUGCCUUGGCCUCCCAAAGUGCUGAGAUUGCAGCCUCUGCCCGGCCGCCACCCCGUCUAGGAAGUGAGGAGCGUCUCUGCCUGGCCGCCCAUCGUCUGGGAUGUGAGGAGCCCCUCUGCCUGGCCGCCCAGUCUGGGAAGUGAGGAGCGCCUCUUCCCGGCUGCCAUCCUGUCUAGGAAGUGAGGAGCGUCUCUGCCUGGCCGCCCAUCGUCUGGGAUGUGGGGAGCGCCUCUGCCCGGCCGCCCUGUCUAGGAGGCAGCAAAUAUGAAGUCUAUGGACCCUGCCUCAGGUUAUUCAAAUAACAUCCUCACCAUUGAUCAAAUGCUCAAGAAAAAGCAGACUUGUAUAGUGGCCGAUGCAACUACUAUUAAACAACAUGUGAAGAGAGCUACUGAUACCUAUAAUUUGGGAAUUGCCCUUGAACACCGAAAAGAAAUGCUAAACCUCUGGCAGAAGAUCCGAGGGGAUUUGAUUGGGAUAGACUCUAGAAAUGAGGCCUUUUAUGACACCUUUUCUACUUAUACAUGGUCCUGGAAUGUUUGCCAAGAAUUACUUUCUCCUAAGGACUUAAGGUUAUAUGAUGCCUAUGUGAAUAGAAAUUCCUCCCAUAACUGCAGAUCCUCUUCCUCAUCAGAUACCAGUGAAUGUGACACAGACUCAGGAAGAAAAAGAAAACAGAAAGGUUUAAAGGGAUUUCAACAAUGAAAUUUCUACAUUUUCUAAACAGCUCAUCACAAACUACUUUUUCAUAGUUAUCAAAAUUAUUGUUUCUUGCUUUUGUCUAAGUACAUUCUUAGAAGCUGGAAAUGUUGACAUCUUUUGGAUUCUGACCAGUAAAAAACCUUAAACCAUUUA
rnacentral:lncRNA from 1 species